GAACUCUGCCGGGCAAUAAACUUUCUUCUGCAUUAAGGAACAACAACGACAACUAAAUUUAGAAGUGGUGUAUUCUUGAAUUCUCACUCAGCGUCAAGUGGUGGGGUCUAGGGCUCGUUGUUGAUGCUUUGCCCAGGGCCUCUUGAUUCCAGGACGAUUCUCGUGGUUUAGAAAUUUAUCAACGCCAAUUAACUUGUCUCUUUUGUGAGGGCGAGGGAUUUUCUUUCAAAUCGAAGGGACAUUGAAACAGAUGAUGUGCUGUUUCGUUGAACGAAAUCGUCGAAGCCUGUGAGCAUUUCUCCCCGUUCCAUCUCGUCCUCAGCUGAUGUUUUAAUUGCUAGCAUGUAAGAUAGCUCCAUCCAGUAUUCAAAUUGUCAGAUACAUCAAUUGGUGUUUAAGUUAUUUGUAUCUUUGAUUAUACGAUCAACUUUGUUUCGUGUUAGAAUUGUUAACAUUUAUGAUUAGCUUCUGUCAAGGAAGAUGCAAUAUUGCUGAUGCAACCUGUUUUUAAUAGAUCACUCAUUCAUAGAAUGAUGCAAUACGAGAUCAAGUAUAAAAAUGUUGCUGGGUGUGAAACUUUACAGAGCAAAGCAUCCCAAUUCCAUGUUCUAGAAUUCUUCAACGAACAUACUUUGCUCUCAUAUUCUUUGACGAUCUUAUUCGAAAGAUGCGAAACAUCUUUUUCAAACAUUGUAAUUUUAAACUUCACACAAUGCAUCAUCAUCAUUUUAUACAAUAUAUUCGAAUACUUCAUACUCAGUGUCAAAAACAUUGACAAAAUGUUUCUAUGUCAGAGUUUAUUUGAUCUAAGUUAAUAUACAGUUUAUCAACAAAAAAUGCA
rnacentral:lncRNA from 1 species